GACGAACCGUCCAAACGUUAUUCGGAAUCACUGGGCUUACAGAGUUCGUAGGCGGUCUGGUAAGUUGGGUGUGAAAUCCCUCGGCUCAACCGAGGAACUGCGCUUGAAACUACCAGACUCGAGGGAGAUAGAGGAAAGCGGAACUGAUGGUGGAGCGGUGAAAUGCGUUGAUAUCAGCAGGAACACCGGUGGCGAAGGCGGCUUUCUGGGUCUUACCUGACGCUGAGGAACGAAAGCCAGGGGAGCGAACGGG
rnacentral:rRNA from 1 species